rnacentral:rRNA from 1 species
UGUCGUAACAAGGUUUCCGUAGGUGAACCUGCGGAAGGAUCAUUAUGGUUCAUCCAAACCACACGUGAAUUGUCACCUCGUGCGUUUCGUUUCACGACGGAGCGCGCGAACCCUCCCAAUACACCUUAAACCAGAGUAUGAAGCAGUAGGGUAUGAGUCAAUCUUUGACACUGCCUUUAACCGUAACAACUCUCAACAAUGGAUGUCUUGGCUCUCGCAACGAUGAAGAACGCAGCGAAAUGCGAUACGUAGUGUGAUUUGCACUAUCCGUGAACCAUCGAAUCUUUGAACGCAUAUUGCACUCGAGACUUCGGUCAAGAGUAUGCCUGCCUGAGCGUCAGUGUGUUUCCUCACCUCUUACCUCUGUGUGACGAGCGUGGAUAUGGCCGUCCGGCGUCGUUUGAUUUAUCGAAACGAUGCGGGUCGGCUGAAAUACAGUUGCAGUGCGUCAGUCGCACGACCAGCGUGGUAGACCACUCCGGUGGACGAUCGCUCGGUUUGGCUGAUGUGUCUCGCGAGAUCUAGUGGAUUCAUCCGACUAGAAACCUGUGCAUUUGGGCGCCACUGGGUUCAUUUGAACCUGUGGCGAUCCAUCGUAUGCUUUCACCUUUUGACCUCAGUUCAGACAAGGCUACCCGCCGAAUUUAAGCAUAUUACUAAGCGGAGGAAAAGAAAAUAACAAUGAUUCCCCUAGUAACGGCGAGCGAACCGGGAAGAGCCCAACUUGAAAAUCUGGAGGCUUGUCCUUCCGAAUUGUAGUCUAGAGAAGUGCCAUCUGCGGCUGGCUGGUCGAAAGUUCCCUGGAAAGGGACGUCAGAGAGGGUGAGAGCCCCGUCACGAUCGGUUAAGUCGCUCCACGAUGCGCUUUCGAGGAGUCGGGUUGUUUGGGAAUGCAGCCCUAAGCGGGAGGUAAAUUCCUUCUAAGGCUAAAUAUUGGCGAGAGACCGAUAGCGAACAAGUACCGCGAGGGAAAGAUGAAAAGACCUUUGAAAAGAGAGUUAAAAAGUACCUGAAAUUGUUGAGGGGGAAGCGAUUGAAACCAGCGGGUGCUCCUCGGGUAGGGUCAAACCACACGCCGAGGGCUGGUCAACGUGGGUUAGUCGGGCGGGAUAUUACGCUUGAUUGACCGAGGACUCGACGUUGGCGGAAUGGUUUCAAUCGGCCCGUCUAGAAACACGGACCAAGGAGUCUAACAUGUGUGCGAGUCGGUGGGUGACAAACCCACGAGGCGCAAGUAACCUGACUGAGCAAAUUCGACCGACCAUGAUCUUCUGUGAAAGGUUUGAGUGCGAGCAUACAUGCUGGGACCCGAAAGAUGGUGAACUAUGCGUGA